CCACCCGGGUAGUCUGGCCUGCACUCUGUGACGAUGCCUGGAAACGGUAUCUAAUACCGGAUACUGACCCGCUUGGGCAUCCAAGCGGUUCGAAAGCUCCGGCGGUGCAGGAUGAGCCCGCGGCCUAUCAGCUUGUUGGUGAGGUAAUGGCUCACCAAGGCGACGACGGGUAGCCGGCCUGAGAGGGCGACCGGCCACACUGGGACUGAGACACGGCCCAGACUCCUACGGGAGGCAGCAGUGGGGAAUAUUGCACAAUGGGCGAAAGCCUGAUGCAGCGACGCCGCGUGAGGGAUGACGGCCUUCGGGUUGUAAACCUCUUUCAGCAGGGAAGAAGCGAAAGUGACGGUACCUGCAGAAGAAGCGCCGGCUAACUACGUGCCAGCAGCCGCGGUAAUACGUAGGGCGCGAGCGUUGUCCGGAAUUAUUGGGCGUAAAGAGCUCGUAGGCGGCUUGUCACGUCGGUUGUGAAAGCCCGGGGCUUAACCCCGGGUCUGCAGUCGAUACGGGCAGGCUAGAGUUCGGUAGGGGAGAUCGGAAUUCCUGGUGUAGCGGUGAAAUGCGCAGAUAUCAGGAGGAACACCGGUGGCGAAGGCGGAUCUCUGGGCCGAUACUGACGCUGAGGAGCGAAAGCGUGGGGAGCGAACAGGAUUAGAUACCCUGGUAGUCCACGCCGUAAACGGUGGGCAC
rnacentral:rRNA from 1 species